rnacentral:rRNA from 1 species
UCCAGACUCCUACGGGAGGCAGCAGUGGGGAAUAUUGCACAAUGGGGGAAACCCUGAUGCAGCGACGCCGCGUGAGUGAAGAAGUAUCUCGGUAUGUAAAGCUCUAUCAGCAGGGAAGAAAAUGACGGUACCUGACUAAGAAGCCCCGGCUAACUACGUGCCAGCAGCCGCGGUAAUACGUAGGGGGCAAGCGUUAUCCGGAUUUACUGGGUGUAAAGGGGGCGCAGACGGCGAUGCAAGCCAGGAGUGAAAGCCCCGGGCCCAACCCCGGGACUGCUCUUGGAACUGCGUGGCUGGAGUGCAGGAGGGGCAGGCGGAAUUCCUGGUGUAGCGGUGAAAUGCGUAGAUAUUAGGAGGAACACCAGUGGCGAAGGCGGCCUACUGGACGGUGACUGACGCUGAGGCUCGAAAGCGUGGGGAGCAAACAGGAUUAGAUACCCGAGUAC